UGGUGUUAAAAUUUAAAGGAGGUAAAUUUGAGGAUAAUAAUAAAUUAAACAGUUUAAACAAUGAACUCAGGUCCUGUCCCAUAAUACUUCACACUCAUGGGAAAUAUAACAUAGCUAUGUGGGACAAGGGUUACAUAUGUUUAACAUGACAGGGAUACCAGUAGGGACAGACAGAGGACAUCAGUCUGAGGCCAGGACAAAUCAGCUCUCAAUCCUCUUCUUCUCUUCUUCCUUUCAGGUAUCAGUUUAUGGGAUGGAAAUGUAAGAUCUGCACUUUUCAGGCGUCAUCCAUAAACUAUCUACCAGACUAGCCUUCAGGUAAAAGCAGUGAUCACCAGGAACAACUGUCUGAGGUUAAGAAGAAGCUCAGCAUUUGUGUUUAGAAGACAUGACAUCAUCAGUCUUCAGAUGAGCAUCCAGGAGAUGGUGGAGAGGUGGUCUUCCUUGUUUGAUGUGUCUGAGGUCAAUGCAGAGUUCCAGCAGAUCACCACAGUAAAUGUUGAGGCCAAAUUCAUUUCAACUGCUGUCCAUCUUCCAAGCUAAGAAAAGUGCUGCUGGAGCCUGACACCGUGCAAGAACUGAUGCUGUUCUCCAGAGUGGAGUUGCUGUUGAGAAAACCAGAGAAUUCUUCAUCUGAUGUCCCAUUGAUCACCCUGGG
rnacentral:lncRNA from 1 species